rnacentral:rRNA from 1 species
CAGCCGUAAACUAUGCUCGCUAGGUGUCAGGCAUGGCGCGACCGUGUCUGGUGCCGCAGGGAAGCCGUGAAGCGAGCCACCUGGGAAGUACGGCCACAAGGCUGAAACUUAAAGGAAUUGGCGGGGGAGCACAACAACGGGUGGAGCCUGCGGUUUAAUUGGACUCAACGCCGGACAACUCACCGGGGACGACAGCAAUAUGUAGGCCAGGCUGAAGACCUUGCCUGAAUCGCUGAGAGGAGGUGCAUGGCGUAGACGUCU